rnacentral:rRNA from 1 species
AUGAGCGAUGAGUUACUGGAGUUUCUAUACUUCAUUGCAAGUAGUCAAAAGGAAGACGUUGAAAAAAUCGAUCUCAACAAGGAUGCUCUUCAAGCUAGUCGGAUGAAGGAAGGAACCAGCGAGGCCGAUCCUUACCAUAUAACUGGAAUUAACCUAUGCAAGUCCAAGAAGGAUUGGCCGGUGCUGCCGGCUGGCGUCAAGUUCGAUCCCACGGAUCAGGAGCUGAUCGAGCACCUUGAGGCCAAAGUGAGUGCUGACAGCGCGAGAUCUCACCCUCUCAUCGAUUUGUUCAUACCAACCAUCGACAGCGAGCACAGCAUAUGCUACUCCCAUCCUGAGAAACUUCUAGGUAUUACACUGAGUGGCCUAAGCAAGCAUUUCUUCCAGCGCAAAUCCAGGGCGUUCAAAAGGGGCAUGUGGACGCGUUGGAAGAUACAGUCGGAGUGUGGCAUGCACGCGAUGUGGCACAAGACCGGCAAUACCUUGCCGGUGAUGGUCAACGGCCGGCAGACGGGCAGCAAAAAGGUUCUGGUGCUGCACACCAACAAGAAGUUCGACCAGCAGAGGACCAACUGGGUGAUGCACCAGUACCACCUCGGGGACCUGGAGCAAGAGAAGGAGCGGAGCUGGUCCUCUACAAGAUUUUCUACCAGACGAACACUAGGGCCAGGACUAAAAAGAUUAUAA